UACGGAGGAUCCGAGCGUUAUCCGGAUUUAUUGGGUUUAAAGGGUGCGCAGGCGGGGGAUUAAGUCGGCGGUGAAAUUUUGCAGCUCAACUGUAAAAGUGCCUUCGAAACUGGUUUCCUUGAGUGUAGAUGAAGUAGGUGGAAUUUGUGGUGUAGCGGUGAAAUGCUUAGAUAUCACGAGGAACUCCGAUUGCGCAGGCAGCUUACUAAACUACUACUGACGCUCAGGCACGAAGGCGUGGGAUCAAACAGGAUUAGAUACCCUGGUAGUCCCU
rnacentral:rRNA from 1 species